rnacentral:lncRNA from 1 species
UACGUAUCAUAGAAGGCAUUUUAAAUGUGGUGUAUUUUGAAGCAGCUUCUAUUUUAAUUGCCCUCAGUAAAUGGCAUUUUUAUAUUGUUUUGUGCAUUUUGAGAGGAUCUCAUCAUUACUGUUUUAGAACAUUAAUAGUGUAAUUAUAUUUAGAAUUAUCAUUGUGACAAUCGCAUUAAAUAUAUGGCAGCAAUGUAGAAUUCUAAACCCGUUUUUUUUUUUAAAGGUAGGGUUCAAAGGCUUAAAUUAUAGGCUAGUCCUGUUUAUCCAUGUUUCUGCUAGGCGGCGCACUCCACUUUUUUGUAGUCCGAUGCCACGCCACAGCGGAUCGUAAGCGACCCUGCAGUAUUGCGUCACAGCUGCCUAGCCCACCUUAGUUUUUAAAGCAUUCUUAUUGGCUACACGACGCAUUGUUCACGCAAUACUUCAUUCUUAUUGGCCAGACGGCCCGUCAUUCACGCUGUUGACAGGGUAGUUGACGUAAUCAUUUCAGUAAAUCAAGGCAUUCAUCCACAUCCUAAUCCUGCGAGAGGAACGGUCCAACGACACCAGCAUCAGUUUAAACGUCAUUGGAGAACUGGCAUCCUGCAGGAUUUCUAUGCUGUUCUAGUCGUCUCUACGUGUGGAUAUAUAACAGAGAACAUUCUGUGGGUUU